rnacentral:misc_RNA from 1 species
ACGAGUUUUCUAAACUCCCAAAACCUUUGUGAAUUUACCACUUGUUGCCUCGACAGUUGAAAACUAUCCGGUUGUCUUUCACGAGACAGCUUGCCCUGCUAAGCACCUACCCUGUAGAGGCUUACCCGGCGACUCUGCGGAUAGUCUGUCGGUGGACUACUUUAAAACUCUUGUUUUUAUAAUGCCAAUCUGAAUUUUUAUACUUAAUAAGUUA